rnacentral:rRNA from 1 species
ACGCCCUAAACGAUGUCGACUAGUUGUCGGGGAUUUACAUCCUCGGUAACGCAGCUAACGCGUGAAGUCGACCGCCUGGGGAGUACGGUCGCAAGAUUAAAACUCAAAGGAAUUGACGGGGACCCGCACAAGCGGUGGAUGAUGUGGAUUAAUUCGAUGCAACGCGAAAAACCUUACCUACCCUUGACAUGCCCGGAAGCUCGCAGAGAUGUGAGCGUGCCCGAAAGGGAGCCGGGACACAGGUGCUGCAUGGCUGUCGUCAGCUCGUGUCGUGAGAUGUUGGGUUAAGUCCCGCAACGAGCGCAACCCUUGUCACUAGUUGCUACGAAAGGGCACUCUAGUGAGACUGCCGGUGACAAACCGGAGGAAGGUGGGGAUGACGUCAAGUCCUCAUGGCCCUUAUGGGUAGGGCUUCACACGUCAUACAAUGGCCGGUACAAAGGGCUGCCAACCCGCGAGGGGGAGCCAAUCCCAGAAAACCGGUCGUAGUCCGGAUUGCAGUCUGCAACUCGACUGCAUGAAGUCGGAAUCGCUAGUAAUCGCGGAUCAGCAUGUCGCGGUGAAUACGUUCCCGGGUCUUGCACUCACCGCCCGUC